UAAUACGGAGGGUCCAAGCGUUAUCCGGAAUCAUUGGGUUUAAAGGGUGCGCAGGCGGUAAAGUAAGUCAGUGGUGAAAUCCCUUCGCUCAACGAAGGAACUGCCAUUGAUACUGCUAUACUUGAAUAUAGUUGAAGUAGGCGGAAUGUGUAGUGUAGCGGUGAAAUGCUUAGAUAUUACACAGAACACCGAUAGCGAAGGCAGCUUACUAAACUAAUAUUGACGCUCAUGCACGAAAGCGUGGGGAGCGAACAGGAUUAGAUACCCUGGUAGUCCACGCUGUAAACUAUGAUUACUCGUUCUCGGCGAUAUACGGUCGGGGACUAAGCGAAAGUGAUAAGUAAUCCACCUGGGGAGUACGAUCGCAAGAUUGAAACUCAAAGGAAUUGACGG
rnacentral:rRNA from 1 species